GGCUCGGUGGUGGAUGGUCCACGCCUGCUCCGUAUAGGUAACAAAGAUUUUCAAAAGCAGGAGGAGCCUGUUCGAAUCAGGCCUGAGCCA